AAGGAUCAUUAUGAUUUUGAAGGCGAGGGCUUGAUGCUGGCGCGGAGACGCGGACGUGCACGGCCCUUGUCCUCAAUCCAAUUCAACCCCUGUGCACCUUAUGGGAGUUAUUAGCUGGCGGGAAUAGCCUGGCCGGAAAUGUAAUGUUAGUAGUCGAGAGGCGAAGGCUUACGGAUCGUCGGUGAACACUUCAACUUUAUUAUCAACCUUUGUUGUCGUGUAGAAUGCAAUGCUCCUCGUGGGCGAAAUGAAAUACAACUUUCAACAACGGAUCUCUUGGCUCUCGCAUCGAUGAAGAACGCAGCGAAAUGCGAUAAGUAAUGUGAAUUGCAGAAUUCAGUGAAUCAUCGAAUCUUUGAACGCACCUUGCGCCCCUUGGUAUUCCGAGGGGCAUGCCUGUUUGAGUGUCAUGUUAAUCUCAAUUCCCUUGUUUUCUUAACUCGGGCGUUGGACUUGGAAGUUGCUGGCCCCUCUCGCCGGUCGGCUCUUCUUAAAUGUAUUAGCUGGGCUUUGGCUCGCGUUGAACGGUGUAAUAGUAAUCUUACAUUCGCCUGAGCGCUUGCCUGACGAGUCUGCUUCUAAUCGUCUUCGGACAAGGUCUUUGUUACCUUCACUUGACACCUUGACCUCAAAUCAGGUAGGAUUACCCGCUGAACUUAA
rnacentral:rRNA from 1 species